AGAGCUCAAAUUUAAAAUCUGGCGGUUAUGCCGUCCGAGUUGUAGUCUAGAGAAGCAUCAUCUACGCUGGACCAUGUACAAGUCUCUUGGAACAGAGCGUCAUAGAGGGUGAGAAUCCCGUCCUUGACAUGGACUCCCAGUGUUCUGUGUUGUGCUCUCAACGAGUCGAGUUGUUUGGGAAUGCAGCUCAAAAUGGGUGGUAAAUUCCAUCUAAAGCUAAAUAUUGGCGAGAGACCGAUAGCGAA
rnacentral:rRNA from 1 species